rnacentral:rRNA from 1 species
UAAGCGAGUAGUGAAAGCGUUCGGCUCAACCGAAUAAGCAUUACUUGAACUGCUUAGCUAGAGGAUGAGAGAGGUUAUUGGAAUUCCUAGUGUAGGAGUGAAAUCCGUAGAUAUUAGGAGGAACACCGAUGGCGUAGGCAGAUAACUGGCUCAUUCCUGACACUAAGGCACGAAAGCGUGGGUAGCAAACGGGAUUAGAUACCCCGGUAGUCCACGCUGUAAACGAUGGAUGCUA